CGGGACGUAGCGCAGCCUGGUAGCGCACUUGCUUGGGGUGCAAGGGGUCGCGAGUUCAAAUCUCGCCGUCCCGACCA
rnacentral:tRNA from 4 species